CUUUGUAAAGGCUGCUUACUUUUUCCUUCUUCAAAUUUUCCUCGGGAAAAAAUGAUGUAAAACCCAAAUGAUGGAUUUUGAGAAACAAAAAAAAGGGUUUUCAGAUUAUGUGUAGAUUGGUGUACUAUUGAGUCACGAUACGAUCUGUAUUAAGAAAGAUUGUAUCUGUAUUUGUAAUCUGUACCACAAACAUUGGAUCUGAUCUUGAGUUAUUCUCCUAUCUCUUGGUCUAGUUUUCUUUGCAUUUUUUUAUUUUGCCCUUUUUGUAUAAAGAAAGUUGGAAUUUAUAAUAAAAAGUUAUACUUACUCAGCUUCAUCGAGUCAUUUUACGAGUUCAUUACAGUUAGCACAUUGGAGAUUUUCCGGUUUCUUUCGGUAUGUGUGUAUGUGCCAUCUUU
rnacentral:lncRNA from 1 species